rnacentral:rRNA from 1 species
AUACGUAGGUGACAAGCGUUAUCCGGAAUUACUGGGCGUAAAGAGCUCGUAGGUGGUUUGUCGCGUAGUCUGUGAAAUUCCGGGGCUUAAAUCCGGGCGUGCAGGCGAUACGGGCAGAACUUGAGGACUGUAGGGGAGGCGGGACUUCCUGGUGUAGCGGUAAAUGGCGCAGAUAUUGGGAGGAACACCGGUGGCGAAGGGGGCUCUCUGGACUGCCACUGACGCUGAGGCGCGAAAGCUAGGGGAGCAAACGGGAUUAGAUACCCCGGUAGUCCUAGCCGUAAACGAUGGGCACUAGGUGUGGGAGGUAUCGACCCCUUCCGUGCCGCAGCUAACGCAUUAAGUGCCCCGCCUGGGGAGUACGGCCGCAAGGUUGAAACUCAAAGGAAUUGACGG